rnacentral:rRNA from 1 species
AUGAAAAUAACUUUACCUCCGACUCUUGUGGUGUUGUUGAUGCAACUCUUGAUGCUAUUCCACAAAGUUUCAUAUGAGAUCAAUGACAACUUGUGCAAGCCUUAUACUGAAAAGGAGAUCAAGGCUACUCUUGUGGUGGUGUUGAUGCAACUCUUGAUGCUAUUCAUCAAAGCUUCACAUGAGAUGAAUGACAACUUGUGCAACCCUUAUACUGAUAAGGAGAUCAAGGCUGCUCUUUUUGGGUCCAACAAAAUCCCCAGGCCCGAAUGGUUUCCACGCUCUCUUUUAUCAGAUUCACUAUAA